rnacentral:lncRNA from 1 species
GGCGCUGGGCGCGGCGGGGAAGGGACUCGGCACUGGGGAAACCCGGAGUUUCAGCCAGGGUCCCAGGGCUUCCUUCCCGGGUUCCUGCCGGAAAACUUUUCUCCUCCGCCCGGAAGCCUCGAUGGGGCAGUGAGAUCGCGGGGCGAGGUGGGAGUGUGGGAGGGGGCCGCGGGCAGAGAGCGGGAGUCCGGCUGGGUGGGAGAUCUCCUGAGCCGAAGCUGGGUCUCGCCCCAGCGUGGCGCCACCGACCCGCAGGCUUUUCCUGCUCUGCAGAUGGAGAGACACAGGGACGCUCCUCAGCCUGUCCUGCUCUGGCCUGCCCUGUGCUCAGGAAGCUGGCGGUCCCCCUCAGUGGAUCUUCACCCACAGGGACAACCUGCUGCAGACCGGGUAGGAGGGAGGCAGGGGCCUCUUCCCCUCUCCUUCCUGGCCUGGCCCCACACCCACCAGUGUUGGUUUCACUCUGUGGCUACGAUUCUUCCUGGGUGCCCUUUCCAUUGCACAACUCCUCUAGGCUCUACGAACAGAACUUCUCCCCGCCCCCAAGCCUCUUAGGGUGAGACAUGUUGUCGGUCUGCCAUUGUUGCUGGUCCCUAAAUAGCAGCACCCUUUGAAGGAUCCUUGAACCAUGACCACACCGCAACAAAGAGUCCUUCAUCAAACUCGCUUCCAAAUCCCCUCCCAAGAACACCUUCAGUUUCCUGCAAGAACCCUGACUGCUGAAGCCGGAUUUUGACUAAGCUUCUACCUUGUAAACCGUGACUGUGGGAUUGGGGUCGAGGCGCAAUCAGAGGUUGUAUAAGGCACUAGAUCAAGGCUGCCUGUCUGUCAGGAGUGUCUGCUUUAUUCAGUAGUAAAUGUGAAUUGUUUUUCA